AUUGAACGCUGGCGGCAGGCCUAACACAUGCAAGUAGAGCGCGCGGCGGACGGGUGAGUAAAGUAUGGGGAUCGGCCAGAUAGAGGGGGAUAACUACUGGAAACGGUGGAUAAUACCGCAUACUAUCAGAGGAACCAAUAUGGGAUUAGCUAGUAGGUGGGGGAAAGGCUCACCUAGGCGACGAUCUCUAGCGGGUCUGAGAGGAUGAGCAGCCACACUGGAACUGAGACACGGUCAAGACUCCUACGGGAGGCAGCAGUGGGGAAUCUUCCACAAUGGGCGCAAGCCUGAUGCAGCCAUGCCGCGUGUAUGAAGAAGGCCUUAGGGUUGUAAAGUACUUUUAGCGGGGAGGCGUUACCCGCAGAAGAAGCACCGGCUAACUCCGUGCCAGCAGCCGCGGUAAUUC
rnacentral:rRNA from 1 species